CAGGCGUUCUCACUGAGUUCUUGAGAUGAGAAACUCGGCAAAGGGGUGCUAACGUUUUUAUAAUUGACUUCUGAUCAGCCGGAUGCCGAGCAGCAGAGACAGAUGUUGUGGCUCAUUCUGGCUUGUCGCGGGGCUUGCCAACCAUAAUUUGGAACAUUCCCUGCACCUGUGCCCUGUCCUCUCCAGUUACAGACAUGUUUGUACCUGGUGCUGUCGUCGUUCAGGAGCAUGCUUCUUAAAUAAAACUGCAGUAAGCAAAACUGAUGGGCGGAUAAUGUUUGAAGCGAAUGGAGGAAUUGAAACAUGAUAGCUGCAUUCGCACCCCUUCAGGCAGGUUCCCCAGGGAGCGCGCACUGUUACAGUCUUCCCCCAUCCACUCCACAGUUCUGAGAUGCACAGAGAUGAUAACACACUCUGUGCGUGAGAUCUUAAAUACCAGUCAGCUGUCUUGUGUGAAUCCCUGGAUGAGUAUUCAGCUCUCCGUCUGCCCUUUCCACGCUUGCUGCCUGCCUACCUGUCUACUCGCCGCCUCAUCUGUCCACAGCAGAAUAGAGCUGUGCCUUUAUCUGACAGCAGCGUCAAGGCCCCGAGACGACCAGGAGUGGACACGGCAAGUGUGGGCAAACGCACAGCAGCGACUUAAGACCGAAACCGAUCUGCUGAGACUGAGCACCAUGGGCUCCUCUUAAAUUGUAGAUAUAUUAAACCGUGUGUGUGUAUAUAUGUGUGUGCGAUUGCUCGAGCUGUUGGUGCAAGCUGACAUACCUUAAAUCUGUGUGGUGAUGAAUGCAUGCAAUAUGUGUUUGUGCCAGAGGGGCUUUAUCAUCUUUCUUUGAAGGAAAAGUUCUG